rnacentral:lncRNA from 1 species
CUGUGGCCAAGACAUUUCUAACAGCAAAUGCUGUUGUGAUUGACCGCAUGGAGCUACAACGACCAUUACCACGUAGAAAGCCCAUGGCUAUGCCUAGCAAUCCCAUGGCUAUGCCUAGAAAUCCCAUGGCUAUGCCUAGCAAUCCCACGGCUAUGCCUAGAAAUCCCAUGACUAGUUCAGGUACUGAAAAGGCCACUCAUUUCAAAUUAUCAAGUUUAGAUUGACGGUGAAUUUAACAGAAUCGCAUUGUUCAAUCAGAAUUGUGCAGAAACUACAUUCUAAAGUUUCAAAAGAAUUACCUUGCACAUCCGUUGCAAAGCUAUAACUGAUGAUACAUCGUCAAUCCAAAUAUCGACUAAUUAAAUGCUCUACUAUAAUAUCUUUUUCUGUUAUGG